rnacentral:rRNA from 1 species
GUUGGGCCUUCCUUUCUGGGGCCUGGCCCGGUGCCCCGGUGAAGAGAUUUGCCUAGAACUUGCCUAUUUUUGUUUUUGGUAACCGUAGAUUCGCCUCCUAUAAGCAGCCCAAUUCCCGGCUACAGCGCGAGGCACAGAUUGGCAGAUUCCCUUUUCGCCUUCCCCUGAGCCCGAUCGAGCAAGCCAAUGGAGAAGCAAGCCGACAAGGCCGCGGCGCCGGUCGACGACGGCAUCCACGAGGAGUCGCCGGCCUCCGCCCAGAACGGGAGGCCCGGAUCCGAGCCGGCGGCCGCACCCGAGGUGGAGGUGCAGCUCUUCCGGCGGGGCCGGGGGCCGGUGGCCGUGUUCCGGUCACCCCUGGGCGGGUACACGCAGGACCAGCUGGAGGUGGGGGACAUCCUGGAGAAGCACGGCCUCAAGUGCGUCUUCGCCUUCGACGCCGCCUCCCGCGCACGCGGCGUCGCCAUCCGAUUCAACCCCCGCAACGGCCGCUCCCUCCUCCCCUACGCCGCCGACUCCACCAUCUUCCUCGACGGCGAGCCCAAGGAUCCUUUGCUGAAGCCCAUCACCAAGGUGAUGCUCACUGUCUGCGCCAUGACAGUGGUAGCUGCGGUGAUACUGAAGGAGGCGAAGAUGCCCGAGUGGCUUAAGGGAACCAAGCUAGGCAACCUGAAAUUCCCACCGUGGGUGCUGGCUUGCAUGGUCAUUGUGUUCAUGAGGCUCCGGAAGAGAACCAGGGAUGUCAUGAAGAAGAUUGGCUGGUCCUCCUGAGAAGGUUACUAAUGGCAAGCACACUUUUGGCCCCUCCUUCCAGUUUGCCGUCAAUGUUGGAGAUGUACUGGGCAGUGACAUACUACAUGUAAAUGUUCAGAACAAAUGCAUCUUAUAGAUCACUUAUAUUUGACCUUAUGUUUAGCAUAUACACGACGCGGUUUGCCAGUGUGGCAUUUUUGCUUGUAGCAAGUGUGCAUGAAUAAAUGUAGCCGAACAAACUGGUGUGCACUCUGUUUCUGUGAAGAUUUUGUUCACUGACCCUUGAUGGUGCUUUAACGAGAAAUUUAACUGC